rnacentral:misc_RNA from 1 species
GCAAGCAAGCAAAUGGGAAGCCGAGACAGGCAGAAGGACCGAGGUACAAUCCGCGAUGCUGGUCAACCCGACCCUACAAACAAGUUAGGAAGCCGAGACAGGCAGAAAGACCGAGGUACGAUCCGCGAUGCUGGUCAACCAACUUGUAGAUCAAAAACUAUCGAGUGGAAAGUCGGAGACUGACCACUCUUGGUGGGGUAGAGCACAAUUGACAUGGAGAAUUCGGGCAGGUUAUUAAUUUAUCUUGGGAGGUCUUCCCUAGCGAGUGACCUACUUUGUUUUGGCCCUCUAUCGGUUGUGAAUCGAACCGAUGUAUUAAAUAUCUGAUUUUUCAUAGCCAUCAUGGUUUAUACGGGGCAUCCUUUUCGCAAAACAAGUGAAUGUUCCCUCACGGAUGAUCACCCAUACCUCUUUAUA